AGCGAUCGCUCGCUGCUCCAUCCCUCACCCCCGCCGCUCGAGCGAGAACCACCGAGGCUCCCCUCGACUCCCCUCGAUCUGUUUGCCCCAGCCGCCAUAGCAGAGCACUUCGCCGACGCCGAGAUGCAAGGGGAGCCGCCGCCACCGAGGUCCAAGAGGAGCCGCCGCGAUCCUCCUCUGCACGCAUCGCCGCCUGCGACGCUGCAUAACCACGGUCUCCACCGGCGCCGCGAUGGCUGCGCCCUCCACCCAGAUCCGUCCGCCAUUGGCCCUUUAUUGUCCCUCCCGAUGGGAUCCAGCCUCCACCACUGCGCACGGUGCGACGGGAUCCACCACGGACGAGGGAAAGGCCGCGCGCGGGCGUCGUGAUGUGGUCAUCACGUGGCGCGGCACGAUCCAGGCUCUGGAAUGGGUCGACGAUCUUGAGUUCGACAUAGUGCCGCCCAAAGGCCCCCUUUGUGAGGCCGCCUGCGCAGAUGCUUGGUGCACCGCGGCUGGAUCUCCAUCCCCACCAACAACAGGGACAACGCCAGAGACCAGGUAAUCUUGUGAAUACGAUGGCACUGUCAUGUACAUGGUGCACGGUUCAGUGUUGAGCUCACUUGCAGGUUGCAGCUGCAUGCUCAUGCAACCAUGGAUGUCAGGCACGGGAUGUGCUGGACAUUGUUCAGUGUCAGGAGGUGAGCAUCACCAUGACGAGGCACAGCCUUGGGGCAGCACUGAACGCAUUCGACAUCACUGAGAAUGGCUACAGCUGCACGGCCGCCGCAGCGUGUUCACUUUCGCCCUGCGCGACGGCAGCACCGGCUUCAAGAAGCGGUUUAACGCUGCCACGGCCACCGGCCUCUGUGUUCUGUCGCGUCCGCAAUGCUCGAGACAUUGUCCACAACGUUGAUGAAGGUGAAGGAGAUGGAAAUUUCAGAUAGGACAACAUAAAAAAUAUUCAGGCAUGUCUUUACCACUACAAAAUAUUCAGUCACUGCCCUUGUGCCAAUUCUUUUCUGCUUUAUCCAUGAAUCAGUCUGUCUUCCCCAAAAUUCAUGCAUCUGAAGUUUUGAACUAAAGCUUAGUUGAUGUAGGGAAGUGAAUUGUAGACGUAUUUUUUAAUUUAUAUUUAGUACUAGAAUUCUGUUUUCAAUUCAGUUUCACAUCAUCGUGUCACUAGAAAUUUCAACAUGGUAUGCUUGUUCGUUUAGACUAGACAACUUUAUGAAAAUGCGGCAUCGGCAUCAGUAUGCUGCCAUUGAUCUUAUUGCCAAGCUCUUUUGUACAUCAUCUGACACAACAUCAUAUAGUCAAUAUGAUUCCCUAUGCACACUGCCCAUUAACUGAAUUACUAGAAUGUUCAUUGUUUUCUUCCAUGUGUAUCCCUUGGGGUGUGGUUCUUAUGAGCACUUAUUUGGAGGUUUAUGGAGUCCUCCUAGAGUUUGAGAAAUUUUAAUGAGAAUUGGUUUGACAGAAACGGGAGGAGGGGCCAUUACGACAAUUUUUACGUAGAAGCGAUCUCGGGCAGACUGGAACCUAUGGACCAAAACUGGGGCAAGAGUUCAGUAGCUUUGUUGUUGUUGUUCUGGAACUCUUUAUGUCGUGAAAUAGCUAGGAAAAUUGCAUUGGUGCACUUUGUAUAAUGUGGGGUCCUCAGACCGAGACAAUAUUGUAAAAAAACGCGCCUUAAGGUUUGCAUCGUUUGUAUUAAGGUUGUUCCUUAUUUCUAAUGAACAUGCUUUAGAGGUGUUUUUAUAGAUGUGCUCCUGCUUCUAUCUACUGAUCAAAUGACUUUCUAUUUCGUUGUUUUCUGCCAAUAUAUUAUUCAGUAGUUACUGAUAAGAAUAAGAUAAGCCAGCCGUGAGUGUGAAGUAGCAAGAUAGUUUGAAAAUUCAGAAUCUUCAUUGCAAGUACACGAACUGGUGUUUUUUGCCCACACAUUGCUCAAUGAUAAUUUAUACCAUGUCUUUAAUUUACUAGAUUAACUGCACACCUGAACGCAGCACUAAUGAAAAGAUUCAGCAUCUUGGUCGGCUGCUCACGGCGGGGCUUGUGGUUGGUGGUUGCGGCAGUGGCAGAGCAGUGUCCGAGAGCGCGGCGCAAGCAGUGGCCCCUGCUAUGUGGGCUGAUGGGAGCACACCGUCCAAGCAGCACUUCAAGUCUGACAAUGUCCCCUCUACACCAAGGUAGGUGGGCACUCGUGCAAAGAUCUAACAUCUUCACCGACUAGGACUAAGGUAUAUGUUUUCUUCUGCCCGUGUGAUGUGGUGAUAAUUUGUUAUGCAUAUGUUUGUAGAUGUUAGUCAGUAUUUGGGAGAUAUGAGGUAGUUUGCUAGAUAAGAAUAGAACAAGAACAAGAAGGAGCUUUAGUUGGGCCAUGUCAUUGUGAACUUGGAGCACAGAAAUUUAUAGGAGGUUGUUGUCGUAAAACUAGGUGCUUAAGAUCUGCGGAACUAUAACAUUUUUUGAGUCUAAGUAAAACAAAUUUACUUUCUGGGUCUAACUAUGUUAAUAAUUUCUUGCGUGAAUAGAUGGGCCAAGCCGAGCAGGCCAUCACCAACCUAUUCGUGCUUUGGUUUAUUUUAUUUGAGUAUUUGUGUUCUUAAUCUUUGUUUUCACUGGUGUGUGCUCUGUCCUCUCAGGCUAGGUUUGAAUUUGUUGUCAUAGAAAAAAUAUUUUUAUCGCCUUUAAUACUAGAGGUGAUCCAGUUAUGUAUGCAAGACUAUGCAAGAUCCUACAAAAAAGUUGAACCGAAAAGUCUUAUUUUUUACUUAAUUAAGUUUCCUUAGUUAUGUGUCAAAAUGUUGGGAGAAUAAAGUUCAUGCUCUGUUCGCACACGGCGGAGACAACCAUGGCAAAGUCACCGAGGGGCAUCCGGAUAAAGUGAGACACUGCGUUGUAUAUAUAUGGCCAGAAUAUAUAACCAGGUCCUGUAUAAAAUGCACGAUGGGUAUUCUAUAUUUCACAUUCAUAAAUCUUCCAUGUAAAUUGUUCAUGCUAAUUAUAUGUAUUACUUGCAAACGAAGUGAAAGACAACAUUCCUGACAUUGUACAAGAAUAUCUCAAGCGGCGUUGUACAUGAAUAUCUCGAGUACAUUAAAUAGAUCUUAGUUGGAAUAGAUACUUAUCAUUGCUCUCUUUGUAUACAUUGUUGAAUUACAUGUGAAAUUUGAGUAACGGGACACAUAUUUAUUAUUUGGAUGCGGUUUUUCACUUUCCUGAGUUGUAUACAUUAUAUUUAUUUGUUCAAUCAACAAAGAAAAAAAGCCCGUGGCAACGCACAGGUGUUCUACUAGACAAGACAAAAUUUAAUGUGCGCAUGUACAUUAUUAUUCUUCUUACCAUCCAAUUUUUAGGAAGGAAUGAGCCCGGAGCUCGACACCCCAUCCAAUGGGCUUAAGUCUUAAGAAACUUCAGUGCAUACUUAACAUGGAGCAGCCUAUGGACAAUGAUUGCUUCAACACCGUUGUGCGUAUACUGGCAUGUGACGAGGGAGUAUUGUUCAUAGACCCUCCUAUAUAAACUACAUGGAUCUAAGAUUUUGUUCCAAGAUGCUAGAGUCAACACGAGUCAGAAGUUUUGCGAGAAGGAAACUAUCCAGACGUUGGCGACAUCAUUUGAUAGCUGGCCUGGGAUGGACAACGACAUCUCAUCGUGCAACAUGGAUGGGUAUGAGUUGAGGAAACGGUUUUUAUUAUACUUGCUAAAACAUCAUGGGAAUGAAGCUAAAGACAACUUUCUUGAUAUUGUGAAAGAAUUUCUUAAAUGCAUCAUCUAGAUAUGGAUAGUUUUGUAAUAAAUGUUUAGUUGAAACAUCACUUAGUUUGUUACAUGGACAUUUCGUUAAUCUUUCUUUUUGUUAUUAAUUUACAUUGCAAAAAUGGGCUUCAAUUAUUUAAUAAUUGUGUUUGUGUUA